GGGUAGAAGUUAGGGGUUAUACGGGGAUAUCCAUAGGCUUGAAAAUACAAAAAAAAUACCAGUUAUCUAAUGUUGGAAUGCAUCUAUUGUAGUCAAGUUACCAGUUACUAAGUUUGAUCAGUAUUGAUUGGAAAUUGGCUUUAUUUUUAUGUUCUAGCUUUCGAGUUACCGAUUCCCGUAGUUGAGUUGAGUUGAGAAAACGAUUUUAUGAUUCAUUCACAAUCCUUAUUUGUUGCUACACUCCCUCCCAUUGAACAAUUCUGGGCACGCCACCGGAUGCGGCAUACUCGUAACUUUUUUUUUUUUUUUUAUGAACAAUAAAUCCGGGCAUUCGCACCAGCCCAUCACUGCGUUGUCAAAGUCGAUAACGUACGCGAAAACUCGCACUAGGAAUUCAGAGUAGACGCGCGAUUAAAAUUCGACUGUUUGUCACCAAUUACAGUUAUUAGCGUUAUCACGUAUGAACAACACUGGCAAACGCCCGGCGCGUUAAUUUCAAUUCAAACGGUGUGUGUAAUGUAAUAACAAUUGCAACGCCGGCGAAAUUCACUGUCGCCGUCACGGGAAAUAACGAAUUAUCACGCAAUGACGAUAACAGCAGACAAUAAAAUUAUUGUGCGAUGAAUUAUCGGCCCGAAGAGAUUUCGACGACGACGACGACGACGACGCGCGACGACAAUUCGAUUAAUGAAGAGCCGCCGCGACAAAGGUGUCCUCGGAGAAAAUCGUUUUGAACGUUUUUGAUGUCGUUCGCGCGAUUCACGAUUCUUAACGAUAUUAUUGUGUUAUUGCGUUCGAUUCGACGUGCCGUGCGGUCUACGCCGGCGGCACGCGAAACUUUUUUGAUCCGCGACCACCGCCGUGGUCGGUUUAUUUCGAUAACGCGGAACAGUCUACUGGGUCCUAUACUCAUAAUAGCGUCGUCACUUUCUCGUUUUGCCGUGUUAAAUUAUUGUCGGUUGCGAAUGUUCGAAAAAACAAACGGACAUACUUCGCACGACGGAUGGGCCACUGUUGCCGGGGAGAAGUCGGGAAAGCGGAGGGGAAAUCUAAUCCAUAUCUGUACCAUCUGUAUCUCGACCGUUGCUAACGAAAAACGAUUCUGAACGGAGUUAGGUUGUACGCGAUGUUUGCG